rnacentral:misc_RNA from 1 species
GAUGAAGAACGUAGCGAAAUGCGAUAAGUAAUGCGAAUUGCAGAAUCCGUGAGUCAUCGAAUCUUUGAACGCACAUUGCGCCCCUUGGUUAUUCCGAGGGGCAUGCCUGUUCGAGCGUCAUUAUCACCCCUCAAGCUCAGCUUGGUGUUGGGGCCGGCCCGUCACAGGGCCGCCCCUAAAAGCAGUGGCGGUGCCAUCUGGCUCUACGCGUAGUAAUACUCCUCGCGACAGAGUCCCGGUGGUGUCCUGCCAGAACCCCCCAUCUUUUUAAUGAUUGACCUCGGAUCAGGUAGGGAUACCCGCUGAACUUAAGCAUAUCAAUAAGCGGAGGA